AAAAAAUAGAGUGCACUUAAUUGUGGCUCAACCCUUUUAAAUCCCUUCACACCAAAUUCUCAAAACUUGAUUGCAUGAUGUAACAGUUAUUGUAAUCAGGUAUAUGUAGCUUCAAUGCUACAUUACCCCCCCUUUCUUUUUCUUUAUACACAUGUUUUUGAAAGAAUGUAAAUUAAUUUAAUUUAAAUAUAACUUUUAACAAUGGAUCUCUAGGCUCUCACAUCGAUGAAGAACACAGUGAAAUGUGAUAAGUAAUGUGAAUUGCAGAAUUCAGUGAAUCAUUGAAUCUUUGAACGCAUCUUGUGCCUUUUGGUAUUCCAAAAAGCACACCUGUUUGAGUGUCAUGAAACCCUCUCAUUAACCAAUUUAUUAAUAUGAAUUGUUUAAUGGAUGUUGAGUGUUGCUGUAAUUAGCUCACUUUAAAUAUAUAAGUCUUUUAUUUUUUAACAAAUUGGAUUGACUUGGUGUAAUAAUUUUUUGAACAUCAAGGAAAGUAGCAAUACUGCCAUUUUAUUAAGGAAGACUCCUAAAUACACACAUAUUAUUCUUUAAGACCUCAAAUCAGGUGGGACUACCCGCUGAACUUAAGCAUAUCAAUAAGCGGAGGGAAAA
rnacentral:rRNA from 1 species